UACUCUUUCCUUUUUUUCCUUUCUUUCUCUCGGCUCUCUCCCUCCACUUCUCUCCUCGAUUUCAUCUACUUAGAGCGUGAUUCCGAACAAAGCCCAAGAAUUAAAGUCGUUAUACGGCGCAUGGGCUUUCCGAAUAUCCAAGAAAAAUCAUGAUCGGACCGCGUGGGAGCUUGGUUGACUUGGUCAAAGGUUCGGGUUUUGCUCAAAACCCAUGAGGUACAAAAAUAAGGAAGUUGGCAUGGCGUGCAUAUCGUGCUUAUUGAUCAUGUCUUUCAAAGGUAUAAAAGAGGCGAUUAUUCGCAUUUGAUUCGAAAGGAGUAUUUUUGGAAAGACAUUUGUUAGAACUGUAAUAUUAUUUUCUUCGGACAUUGGUAUUUCUAUAACUUGGGGCCUCGAGCCAGGGAUGUACUCAUUGAAUUUUAUUUGAGAACAGUGAACAGAAAGGUCUUUUGGGGUAUUAUUUGUAUUACAGUGAGGACUUUAUUUAUUAAAAGUGUUUAUUAUUUAUGUCGAAAA